CUAUGUUCACCAUAUUGAACCAAAACUGACUAGAAAUCAAAGACCAACAAAAUGUUUCAUAUGAAAUUAAUGGCAAAAAGGUAAAAUUCAAAGUUCUAGUAUCAAAUAAUAACUGACAUAUGCGUAUGAACUUCAAUUCCAACUCAAGAUCAAAACAACGAAUUAGGAAGAAAUUGUGAAAUUCUUGUGAAUAUCAAAUUUCCCGAAAGUGGGGAAAAAUAAUGGAACCCAGUGAAUUUGGC
rnacentral:lncRNA from 1 species